UACGGGAGGGUGCGAGCGUUGUCCGGAAUUAUUGGGCGUAAAGAGCUCGUAGGCGGUUUGUCGCGUCUGCUGUGAAAACCCGAGGCUCAACCUCGGGCCUGCAGUGGGUACGGGCAGACUAGAGUGCGGUAGGGGAGAUUGGAAUUCCUGGUGUAGCGGUGGAAUGCGCAGAUAUCAGGAGGAACACCAAUGGCGAAGGCAGAUCUCUGGGCCGUAACUGACGCUGAGGAGCGAAAGCAUGGGGAGCGAACAGG
rnacentral:rRNA from 1 species